AUUGAACGCUGGCGGCAGGCUUAACACAUGCAAGUCGAACGAGUGGCGGACGGGUGAGUAAUGGAUGGGAAUCUGGCUUAUGGAGGGGGAUAACGACGAGAAACUGUCGCUAAUACCGCGUAGCAUAGGAUGAGCCCAAGUGGGAUUAGGUAGUUGGUGGGGUAAUGGCCUACCAAGCCGACGAUGUCUAGCUGGUCUGAGAGGAUGACCAGCCACACCGGGACUGAGACACGGCCCGGACUCCUACGGGAGGCAGCAGUGGGGAAUAUGGCGCAAUGGGGGCAGCCUGACGCAGCCAUGCCGCGUGAAUGAAGAAGGUCUUCGGGUUGUAAAGUUCUUUCGGGGAAGAGGCGUUAAUCACAGAAGAAGCACCGGCUAACUCCGUGCCAGCCGCCGCGGUAAUAC
rnacentral:rRNA from 1 species